CAGCCGUAAACUAUGCUCGCUAGGUGUCAGGCAUGGCGCGACCGUGUCUGGUGCCGCAGGGAAGCCGUGAAGCGAGCCACCUGGGAAGUACGGCCGCAAGGCUGAACUAAGGAAUUGGCGGGGGGAGCACAACAACGGGUGGAGCCUGCGGUUUAAUUGGACUCAACGCCGGACAACUCACCGGGGACGACAGCAAUAUGUAGGCCAGGCUGAAGACCUUGCCUGAAUCGCUGAGAGGUGGUGCAUGGCGUAGACGUCU
rnacentral:rRNA from 1 species